GGGUGCGAUCAUACCAACACUAAUGCAUCGGAUCCUAUGAGAACUGCACAGUUAAACGUGUUUGGAAGAUAUGUAGUAAGUUUCUAUAUACCAGCUCUGUGAGCAAAUUUUAGUAUGCAUCCA
rfam:Cephalotus follicularis DNA, scaffold: scaffold457, isolate: St1.